GGUUGUGGCUCAGCGGUAGAGCGUUCGCCUAGCAUGUACGAGGCCCUGGGUUCAAUCUUCAGCACCA
rnacentral:tRNA from 1 species